UACGUAGGUGGCAAGCGUUGUCCGGAUUUAUUGGGUUUAAAGGGUGCGUAGGCGGCCCUGUAAGUCAGUGCUGAAAUAUCCCGGCUUAACCGGGAGGGUGGCAUUGAUACUGCGGGCUAGAGUACAGAUGAGGUAGGCGGAAUUGACGGUGUAGCGGUGAAAUGCUUAGAUAUCGUCAAGAAUCACCUAUAGCGAAGGCAGCUUACUAGGCUGUAACUGACGCUGAGGCACGAAAGUGUGGGAUCAAACAGG
rnacentral:rRNA from 1 species